GAUGAACGCUGGCGGCGUGCCUAAUACAUGCAAGUCGAGCGAACGGACGAGAAGCUUGCUUCUCUGAUGUUAGCGGCGGACGGGUGAGUAACACGUGGAUAACCUACCUAUAAGACUGGGAUAACUUCGGGAAACCGGAGCUAAUACCGGAUAAUAUUUUGAACCGCAUGGUUCAAAAGUGAAAGACGGUCUUGCUGUCACUUAUAGAUGGAUCCGCGCUGCAUUAGCUAGUUGGUAAGGUAACGGCUUACCAAGGCAACGAUGCAUAGCCGACCUGAGAGGGUGAUCGGCCACACUGGAACUGAGACACGGUCCAGACUCCUACGGGAGGCAGCAGUAGGGAAUCUUCCGCAAUGGGCGAAAGCCUGACGGAGCAACGCCGCGUGAGUGAUGAAGGUCUUCGGAUCGUAAAACUCUGUUAUUAGGGAAGAACAUAUGUGUAAGUAACUGUGCACAUCUUGACGGUACCUAAUCAGAAAGCCACGGCUAACUACGUGCCAGCAGCCGCGGUAAUACGUAGGUGGCAAGCGUUAUCCGGAAUUAUUGGGCGUAAAGCGCGCGUAGGCGGUUUUUUAGUCUGAUGUGAAAGCCCACGGCUCAACCGUGGAGGGUCAUUGGAAACUGGAAAACUUGAGUGCAGAAGAGGAAAGUGGAAUUCCAUGUGUAGCGGUGAAAUGCGCAGAGAUAUGGAGGAACACCAGUGGCGAAGGCGACUUUCUGGUCUGUAACUGACGCUGAUGUGCGAAAGCGUGGGGAUCAAACAGGAUUAGAUACCCUGGUAGUCCACGCCGUAAACGAUGAGUGCUAAGUGUUAGGGGGUUUCCGCCCCUUAGUGCUGCAGCUAACGCAUUAAGCACUCCGCCUGGGGAGUACGACCGCAAGGUUGAAACUCAAAGGAAUUGACGGGGACCCGCACAAGCGGUGGAGCAUGUGGUUUAAUUCGAAGCAACGCGAAGAACCUUACCAAAUCUUGACAUCCUUUGACAACUCUAGAGAUAGAGCUUUCCCCUUCGGGGGACAAAGUGACAGGUGGUGCAUGGUUGUCGUCAGCUCGUGUCGUGAGAUGUCGGGUUAAGUCCCGCAACGAGCGCAACCCUUAAGCUUAGUUGCCAUCAUUAAGUUGGGCACUCUAAGUUGACUGCCGGUGACAAACCGGAGGAAGGUGGGGAUGACGUCAAAUCAUCAUGCCCCUUAUGAUUUGGGCUACACACGUGCUACAAUGGACAAUACAAAGGGCAGCGAAACCGCGAGGUCAAGCAAAUCCCAUAAAGUUGUUCUCAGUUCGGAUUGUAGUCUGCAACUCGACUACAUGAAGCUGGAAUCGCUAGUAAUCGUAGAUCAGCAUGCUACGGUGAAUACGUUCCCGGGUCU
rnacentral:rRNA from 1 species